UACGGAGGGGGCAAGCGUUGUUCGGAAUUACUGGGCGUAAAGGGCUCGUAGGCGGCCAACUAAGUCAGACGUGAAAUCCCUCGGCUUAACCGGGGAACUGCGUCUGAUACUGGAUGGCUUGAGUGUGGGAGAGGGAUGCGGAAUUCCAGGUGUAGCGGUGAAAUGCGUAGAUAUCUGGAGGAACACCGGUGGCGAAGGCGGCAUCCUGGACCAUUACUGACGCUGAGUGAGCGAAAGCCAGGGGAGCAAACGGG
rnacentral:rRNA from 1 species